CCUACGGGAGGCAGCAGUAGGGAAUAUUGCUCAAUGGGGGAAACCCUGAAGCAGCAACGCCGCGUGGAGGAUGAAGGUUUUCGGAUUGUAAACUCCUUUUGUUAGAGAAGAUAAUGACGGUAUCUAACGAAUAAGCACCGGCUAACUCCGUGCCAGCAGCCGCGGGAAUACGGAGGGUGCAAGCGUUACUCGGAAUCACUGGGCGUAAAGAGCGCGUAGGCGGGAUAGCAAGUCAGAUGUGAAGUCCUAUGGCUUAACCAUAGAACUGCAUUUGAAACUGUUAUUCUAGAGUAUGGGAGAGGUAGGGGGAAUGCUUGGUGUAGGGGUAAAAUCCGUAGAGAUCAAGAGGAAUACUCAUUGCGAAGGCGACCUGCUAGAACAUAACUGACGCUGAUGCGCGAAAGCGUGGGGAGCAAACAGGAUUAGAUACCCCUGUAGUC
rnacentral:rRNA from 1 species